GACGAACGCUGGCGGCGUGCUUAACACAUGCAAGUCGAACGGUAAGGCCCCUUCGGGGGUACACGAGUGGCGAACGGGUGAGUAACACGUGAGCAACCUGCCCUUGACUCUGGGAUAACA
rnacentral:rRNA from 1 species